GAUGAAGAACGCAGCGAAAUGCGAUAAGUAGUGUGAAUUGCAGAAUUCAGUGAAUCAUCGAAUCUUUGAACGCACAUUGCGCCCUUUGGUAUUCCUUAGGGCAUGCCUGUUCGAGUGUCAUUUGAAACCUCAAGCUCAGCUUGGUGUUGGGUGUCUGUCCCCGCCUCCGCGGGGACUCGCCUCAAAAUCAUUGGCGGCCGGUACGUUGGCUUCGAGCGCAGCAGAAACGCGAACUCGAGGCCCGGCGGAUCGGCGACCAGAAGUCUCUUCUUCACAGUUUGACCUCGGAUCAGGUAGGGAUACCCGCUGAACUUAAGCAUAUCAAUAAGCGGAGGA
rnacentral:misc_RNA from 1 species